GUGAGGAAGAAGUUUGCAGUAGUGGUGGGGGCAAAGGGAAAGGCGUCGCACAAUUUUGAUGUUAAUUGUUUCCUCUUCUUUUGUAUGGAGAUUGGCAUGGUGGCGUGGAGGAGAGCUGUCACUGCCAGCAACUGUUUGAUGUAUUGCAUGAAUGAAACCAAAGGUCUUCCGUGUUACUAUAAGUAGGAGGGGCUGGUUCUGUUGGGAAUCCACUCACUACAAAAAAUCGGGGAAACCCUAAUUGAUGGUUUAGACCUCAGCAGCGGCCGGUUUUCAGGUCUGAUCCGUUGUUGUUUGUGGAUUGUUUUGAUUGGAAAAAAAUAUAUGUGUGUUUUGGGGGGAAAGAGGGGAGAAGAGAAUGGACAAUUUGACAGAAGAGAGCGAGCACAAGCAGGCAAUUGUAUAGAGUUAUACCUUUGUUGAUGCGUGUGCUCACUUCUAUUCUGUCAGCUUCUCUCUCCACCGCCUCUCUCUGCCUCCAUCCCUCCUCCCUUCACACAAACAUACACAUACACAUACACGCCGCACGCGCGCGUCAUUGCCCUAUCUGAUACACCUGGGGACCUGCCAAAGACACAUCUCCCACCCUUUGCAAACAACGUACAUCAACAAAAUGACGAACCCCAGUUUGUACUCAUCUUCUUUUUCGGGAGUUGUGAUUAUAUGGUUUAAUUUUUUUUAUUUUUUACUGGUAUAUUUAAUCUAGGGUCAUAUAGAUAAGUAUCGAUUUUUACUGCGCUUUUGUCAGUUUUAUCCUAAGUAAAACAGUGAUUCCCUGAUACAAAACCUUUCACCUUUCGAGUGGAAGGAUUGGUUUAUUUCUAUCUUUUUCUUGCUGGAAAAAGAUGAUUAAUUCGGUUAUAUUUUAUGUGAUUAAUCAUCUUGUUUGUGUUUCUUUGUUGGAUUUGUCUGUGAUAAGUGUGUGAAUCACGGAGUUCGUUGUCCUUAAUUAUGUUUUCAGAUUUAGGUAUGAAUGAAGAUCAUGUUUUUAUGUUUUACCAAAGCUUUAUUCAAUCAUAUACUCCUACAACACAAUUAAUUUAACUCACUUUCAAUUUGCGUUGCUAUAGGCCUGUGAGUUAAUUGAUUCUCGUGAUUAGUUCCGGAUCCUCAGGUAUGUAGUUUCUUGAUAUCACUUUUUUUAUGAUUUAUUGGAACUCGAUUUGAGAUAUUUUGUUACUACGGGUGAGCUCUGGGAUGGUGUCCAUUAGCUUAUGAGUUUCUGAGCAUAUAGACAACCUUGUUUGCUGUUAAUCUUUGUCUUUGAUAGUGGCUAAGCUAUGUCAAACACUUAAAAGUUAUGCCAUUAAAAACUUAAAUUGGAGUUCUUUACUUCUUACUAUUUGAAUUAAUGUUCUCUUCUAUGAAUUGACAUUAUAAGAUAUUGAUGUAUUCAUUAAUAUAAUUCUGAAAACUUUAAGCAUGACGGUCAAAACCGUCCUGAUUGCCUCAAAAAUGAAUUUCUCAAUUUGGACAUAGACAUACCAUUCGAUGACUGUGCCUUUGUUUGUAGAACCAUCUAGAAAUGGGAUGAACUUGUGAGAUUCUAUAUUAUCAUAUCUGCAAGAUCGAAUAUGUAUAAUGACCAGAGUAAAAGUAAACUAAUUAGUAAGUUGUUUUAGUGAUAGCAAAUUCAAAACAUUGUCCUACUCAAAAGUUCGUAUUAUAUCAAUCGUUAUGUAUGUCCAUUAAAAUGGAGAAAUAGGCACCACCCUAUUGAUUAGUGUAAAAUCAUUGCUGCAAUUCUUCAGUUUUCCUCUAUUAGUAUUAAUAUAUCUAAACAUGGUAACUACUUAUAAAGGGUUUCCUUAAUGAAAAAUAAAAUUUGUUGAAUAAAUUAGAAAGAAAUAGUACUGUCUAGGGAUUUUAUUCAUACAAAAUGUGCUCGAAUGUGAUGUCGAAAUUGUGUGCUAGCUUUAGUCUUGCCUUAAUACUGCCACUACAAGAGGAUUUGUAUCUUUUUGGUUUUAUUUGUCAUUACCAAAUCAUGGUCAUAGAUAAUAGUCAGUCUCUCAAAACUUGCAGAUCACUAUUAAAUCUAAUUGAUGAAAAGUAUUCAACCUUUCUGAUUUUUGAUAUGGUGACUGCUCAUGAUUACCAGGAAUAACAACUAAUUUAGGUUUUGAAGGCUUUAUGAAAUCUUGGAAGCCCAUGUGCGUUGACGAUCUUUUAGUUUAUCGUUAACUGAAUGAUAUACCAUAUGCCAUAUGCGUGAUAGUAGAGCAGUCCAAUGACUUCAUAUUAAGUUGAUUGUUCCGGUAAAGCCCUUGCAAAAUAUAUUUCAAAAUGAGGGUGAUAAUAUUAAAAUCCAUUAUAUCAUCAUGACUUUAGUCUAUAAAUUUGUAUGUUAAGAUUCGAGUUUAAUAAUUGACGAGAAUAUGGGCUCCACUAUCAGUUUUAAAAAUUUUAUUUAAAACUCUGUGCAACAUGUUAUGUGUUUAAUUCACACUGAUUCGAUAGACCAAACGUAGGUGAGCCUUGACUAUAAUCUAAUUUUCUGGCCCGGAACCUGCUAUUAUCAUUAUAAGUAACUUUGGUAUUGUUACAAGUUUCAGGUUGCCCCUAACAUCAUAUUAGCCUUUCUCCUUGAUUUGUAAGGGAUCUCAUCCACGAACUGCCAAAGGCCGAUGAAGAUCUCAUAUCAGGUUAUGGACUGGAAAAGAUGGAUGAGUGAGGUAUAUGUAUAUGUGUGUUUCCUAAUAUUCAAAUUCAAGUGCAUUCCUUUUCCAAUAUGAGAAGUAUCCACGCCCCGUAGACCUACUUUGUGGAUAUCCUGACACAUAACUGCAUCUGAUGUGAUGAGCAUGCUAGCUGCACCUGGUGGAUUCAUAAUGUACGAAUAUUAUUUGUUUCGGUAGAUUUACUGAUGAGAAUAAUGUAUUUCCCUGGCUAAAUGCUAAAUGCUAACAAUCGUUAACCAUGAAACAAGGAAUGCAUUGAACUGUCCUUUCAAGCCCUUUAAUUACUUAAAGUCUUCCUUGAUGUUGAAUUAAUUAAGGUGAUCAUGAAAUAUUCUGGAUAAAAGAUGGAAAGAUCCUACAACAUUCAUUGUAUUGUGCACUUGAUUAGUGUGUAUGCGGUCAUGGAUGUUGCUAUGGUUUUAAUUUAAUAGCUUGCAGUUUUCAUGCAUGUGUUAUACCAGAAGAUGUUUUAUUACAAACCAAUAUUAGCUUUCCAUUUCAUCCCAUUUUUUCAUCAUCCUUACUUAUUGAGUUUUACCCUCUAAUAUUAUUCUUAAAUGGCCAGUGUUUUAUGACUAUCUAUGUUAAAUUCUAGAGAUAAACUUUCUCAGUUGCUCAUCUUUUCCAAGUAGGUAUUAAUUGAACUUAGUUUCUAAACAAUGUGAAAUUAACUUCACUUUUCUUGGAGCGAAUCAUUUUGAAAUCUUUAUACUUUUAUGAAUUGAAAAGGACCAAUUAAACCCAUGAUGUCCUAUGAAAUGGACUUAAGAAGUUCAUCAUAAGUUAUGUAUUUAGUUUUAUUGCCAGGAUAGCGACUUCUGGUGAAACUUAUAUUGAGGUUCAUAAAGAAAACCAUAUAAUCGUGACAAAUAAAAUUAUGAAAAUAGCAACAAGUAAAAAUCAGGAAAACAUAAGAGAAAAUUAAUGUCUGGUCUGGCUUUGGAGGUCACAUAAUUAUUCUUGCAUUAGCAAGAACUUUGUAGCCUCCUAUAUCCUCUCCAAUGUUAAUAAAACUUUUUCUUAUGAAUUUAUAACUGAAACCUGAAACUAGGUUUCUUAAGAGAGAUAGUGCAAACUAGGUUUUGUUAAGAAAGAUAAACAGGUUUAUAUAUGUAUUUGUCAUUUUGAGUGUUGAUGUAGAACAAAAGGUGGAGAAAGAGUUGAAACUGGGUUUCUUAAGGGGGUAGUUAAAGCGGUAUAGAUGGAUGAAAAGUAUGAGAGAAACCAAGUAUUAUUGAUGGGGCUACAAAUAUACAGGAAAACGCAAUAUUAACUGUGAAUUAUGUGUACCAAUAAAGUUUGUUAACUAAGUCAGGUUAGCUUCCCUGUAUAACUUAUCAUCAUCCUACUGCCCACGUUAUUACUACGAAAUUAAAAUUCUUAUGUUGCUUUUCAUUUAGAAAACUGGUCUCAGUUAGACUGAGAUGUCAUCCCUAUGUAACUUUGGCACGUGGCUUAGAGAAUCCACAAAGGUGGAUGUUUAUCAUGUCCACGCGGCCCACUCGAGUGGGUUGGCAUGAAGGGUGUUACUCUUUCAAGCAAAAUGUUAAGUGACAGCCCGCUGAUUUCUGAUUUCUUUAUUAGUUUUUCGACGUUUUAAAUUACAAAUUUAAUGGUUGGCCUAGUGGUGGCAGUGGCUUUAUGGUGUUGAAGUUGCCACCCUCAUUUCGUUUUAUUUUUUGUUUUGUUUUCUUCACCUUUAUCUUAUUUUUUAUUUCAUUUAAAUCGUUUUCGUUUCCUUUUAAUUAAUUAGGAUCAGAAUUGAAGUUUGUUUUAUUUUCUUAUAUGCAAAUAAAUGUAUAGAUUCUGUUUAUGUAAUUUUUAGGCUUUAUUAGGAUUUCAAUUAUGUAAUUUUCAGCUUAAUUAGAAUUUUAAUUAUGUAAUUUUUUUUUUAAUGAAUAUCAUAUUUAUUUUAAUUGAGAAAUUAAUUUAUUAGAUUACAUUAUAAAUAAAUUGAAAUAAAUAAUGGAUAUAAAAUAAAAAGAUGGUACCCAUGAGUAGUUAAGGAAAUUGAUGAUCGGUUGUGGGUGCUGUUUCUUAAAUAAGAAACGAGGUAAAAAUUGUUGUGGGAAGGAACAAUGUUAGUGACAACAUUUUGCAUGACCUUACAAGUAGAAUUUACUUAGGCAACAAUAGGACUCUUUUUAAAUCUGAAAAUUGCACAUGUCAAUUCCACUUGUCUGGGAAUGAAUUUGUUAGACCUUCUAACUCCCUAACAUUGUACCCUAUGCUACUCUUCCUUAUGUAGGUGCAAUUCCAGUCUCAUGCAAUGAUUGUAUAACUAAUCUAGGGAAAAAAGUUGAGACUUGUCUCAGAAUAGGUUUGAGACCUUGUUCACACAUGUGAUUGUUCCCUGUGGCUGAUUCACAUUUUCUAUGAAUUGGAGUAAUAUAUAAUUUCAUUUUGAAUUGAUGUUAUUUUGCAGGUUAUAAACUCCAUUAGGACUUGAUUUAUACGUUGGAAAGAAGUAGAGUAUUCAGAUAUAUAAUCUCUAUUACUCAAACGCAAAACUAUACUCCAUAAGAAAUCAUCCAUGAUUUGGAACAAUGAUGAUCACAUUGUACUGAUUUAAAAGGUAUCUGCAAAUUCAUUAUUAGCACCUUAAAUUAUUAUAUAAGAUGUUUAAGUUGUUAUAACCUUAAAAGUUCCAUGCUUUAGAAAAUAAGUUUUGAUCUCUUAAAAAGGGAUGCAAGGAGCUUAUUACACUACAAAAAACCGAGAUUUACCGACGGAAUUCCCGACGGACAAGAAUCCCUUGGUGAGUAACGACGGCAUACCGAGGGAUUCGCUGUCGGUAUUAUUUUCCCCCUUUUGUUUCAUACGGCGUUUUUAUUUUAAGCCUAACGAGCAUUUUUUUAAUGUUAAAUUCUUUACCGACGGGAUCUGAUUCGGUCGGUAAUCUUAAGAAUUUAAUUAAAUAAUCAGUAGCAUAAUAUCGUUUGCCUCCCCCCCCCCCAAAUAUUCAAAAAACAUUCUUCCUUGAACAACCACCAUCGUCCGCCGAGCUACAGCCACCGCCGUCGCCGAUUGUGUCGCCUUCACCGUUGCCCCUUCGCCGAAGAAUUUUUGAAUAUUGAAGUCAAGCUCCAAUAUUUGAGAAUUAAGAAAUCAUUAAUGUUGACACGAAGAAGCCUUGAAGAUUGCUCAAGGAGUAGAGAUUUUAGAGAACGUGUGUAUGGUAGCUCAAGAGAAGAUCAAAGCAGCAAGAGGGUUUAGUUUCAUAUGGAUCCAUCAAAUCAUCUAGUUCAGGAUCUCGCAACAAGUUUUCAAAGUAGUACCAAAAUUCUGAAAAUCUUUGAUUUUUGGAAUAAGAUGAAGAAGGGUCUAAGAUAGCAUUUGUGGCAUCUGCAACUGCCUUUGAGAAGUGGACCACACGAUCUGGAUAGGCCGGGACAACCCAAACGCCUUUGAACUUUAACACAUUCCCAUUCUUGAAUGCUUCUAAUUUUAUUAUUUCAAUUGUAUCUCACUCAAUUUAUUUUUUAUGCAACAUAAAGGUUGUGUUUAACUAAUACUCCACUAAUAGCUGAGAUCUCUUAUUUAUGCAUGGACAGUGAUGAAUCUAUUGCUGCAUAUGAACCGAGCUCUCGAAGUGUUUGUCGCUUAGUAAAUAUUAUCCGGAUGUCUCUUAUUCAUGGAGAAAAGCUAGGCUACAAGGAACCAGGCAGGCAGAAUGCCUUCCAAGACCAGUUCAGUAAUGAGAGCGAGUCGUUCGGAGAUGUUUUUGACGGGAGGAAACAUUGAAUCGGGGCUUUCUAUCGAUUAUUUUAGAAUUGUUGUAAAUUGUAGCUUUGUUUUCUGCGACUUGUAACCAAAACUUAAGAUUCACUUUAAAUAAAACGAUUACCUUUCAUUUGCGUAA